GGGCCCGCACAAGCGGUGGAGCAUGUGGUUUAAUUCGAAGCAACGCGAAGAACCUUACCAGGUCUUGACAUCCUUUGACCACUCUAGAGAUAGAAGUGUUCUCUUCGGAGACAAAGUGACAGGUGGUGCAUGGUCGUCGUCAGCUCGUGUCGUGAGAUGUUGGGUUAAGUCCCGCAACGAGCGCAACCCUUAUUGUUAGUUGCCAGCAUUCAGAUGGGCACUCUAGCGAGACUGCCGGUGACAAACCGGAGGAAGGCGGGG
rnacentral:rRNA from 1 species